GGUCUCCCCUCGGAGCUUGGAAUGUUACGCUUGGAUCAGGUUUUCAGGAUCUUCUCUGCCACCACAGGGACACGAAAUGCUGUUUCCCUUCAGAAUGAAGACGGAACAUUUCGAGCAAAACUCACUUAGAAGACUAUUAAUGGAAAUCAUUGACAGAAAUAGGAAAAGCCUGAGCCACAGAACAGACCCGGUUUCAGUUAAUGUUGGGAAAGAAAAGAAGACAGGAAGCUGGAGGAAAGGAAAGCUCUUCAAAUUUAUCAAUUAAAAUCGACGGCUUCCGAGUGCCAGUUGUUGAGCAGUGCAGUUCUCAGCUCGUCCCUGCCGUGUGUUCUUGAUCUCCUUUGAUUUCCCUUGGCUUACUGGAUGCACAGGUAUUGCUCAGGCUACCAAAGCCUAGCACACUCUGAGCUGUUUACUGCGUCUUUCACAAUAUUUUCCUAUAUAAAUGAUCUCACCCAGAAAUAAAAUAUGUUACAUCAAAUCCCUCUGUGGGCUUACACCGAAAUCCUCUGGUCGAAAGGGAAAUGCAUACGGUACCCAGACUCGCCUGCCGGUCUCUGAAAAAGAUGCGAGACAGCACCAGUAAGUCAGUGAGAUUUCCAGCCCGAGGAACAAAGAAGCUUGUUAGAAUGAAAGAGCCAGCUGCAGGAUUUUGUGUCCCUUGCUUCAGCUCAGGUGUAUUUUGUUUGGAAGUGGCAUGGUGUGGUUGGACUAACAUUGUCACACAGCGAAUCUGGGUCUCAUUCAUGCCUCCAGUGCACACAGAAAUGAAGGGAUGGAAAAACAAAUGUGCUAUUUCCCAGAAUAGAAAGACAGAGGUGAUUUCCUCUGAAUAUUUUCAUUAGGAUUAAUACAGCAACCUGCAGGAUCCAUAGAAAUAACUGCAACCAGCAAGCUUACGUUUAAAACCAAACCAACCGAACAAAAACAGCGCACAACUUCCUCCAAACUCCCAGCUGAAAUCUCACCUGAUAAUAACUUCUCUCUCAGUCUGUAAGAAGUGGGUGGGAUAGAAAUUGAUGAGAUUCUGAAGUUUUAGUAAGUUCCCCGACCUGCUGCCUCCAGCCCUGAGGCCGUGCCUGCCCAGAGGGCACAAAUGGGCGCUGCACCAAGUCAGUGGAGACGAGUUCCUGUGCUGCCCCUCAGCUUACAUUAAGCAAAUAUUUUCGAAGGACCUGAGUGAAAGGCUACUGAGGUAAGAGGAGUCUCUCCUCGUAUUUCAGAGAUUUUACAUCAGCAUCCUUGUGCAGAUGCCAGGCAGCCCUGACAUGACAAGUCGUGCACUUCUAACGUAUUGCCAACAUCUGGCUCAGCUCAUGCCGUGGAAUUUUGCCAGCAGAGCACAGGCAGCUCCUUAGACCCGUGGGGUGGAAAAAAAAUAAAAUUAAUCUUUGCCACAUGGCCCAGAAGGCUUGGACACAAUCACAUUUUGCAGCAAUUUUAAAAAUUAUAUACAAAUAAUGAGAUUUCGUACAGGACUAUGUUUGGCUUACAUGUCCUGAAUGUCAUCUGCACAAAUUAUUGUCAGCUGAAGAGGUGUAAGUAAACCCAGGUACAAGUUUGUGUGGGCUGGAAAUAGUGAAGGUAGACGUUUAUUUCAGAGAAAAACUUUUAAAGUUAAGUGGAAAAGCAAAGGAACAACGAGAGUUGACGGAGGCCCGUGGUGUGCUGGGCUGCAGCUCCGGCAGGACAGCGGCUGGCAGUUCGGCCAGGACUGAGCUCAGAAGAGCAUCAGGAUGGGAAUGAACCCUGUAUGCCUUCCUCAGUGCUGUCUUUACAGAGGCAUCAUGACAUAUUCCCUACUUGCCCUUUUCUCUUUCUUCUUAAAAUCAAGGUUGUGGCCUAUAGGAGACAUUUCUAUCCAUCCUAAAGCCACCAGCAGUGCAGAACAGACCCAUAAUGGGGAUAACAUAUGGAAAAGGAAGACUGGCAUUGAAGACCCCUGGGGAAUGGCAGUCAAAAUCUCCACGUUGCAUAGCAUUUAUAUGACAGCCUAUAAAAUAGAAAUUUACGGGAUAGACUAUUGUAACAGAACUGGAGCCUUUACAAAGUAUCUUAAAAUGCUGCUUAUAACAGAAUCCGAACCCGCACGUCCCAGGGAAGAUAAUUAUUUAAGUAAAUUAUCCAAGCCUUUGAACUGAAGGUUGAGUCUGUGGGUGAUUUACAGCUCUCCAACAAUAGCUGGUGACUCCACUUUCAUCUAAACCAAAGUAAAGUAAAUAAAUAAAUAAAUAAAUAAUCAUCUUCUUGUCUUCUUCUAAGCGUUAAUGCAGUCAUCGCUUGCAAAAGAAAAAAGCUCUUCAGUCAGGUUAAAAAAAAUGAAAGACUUCAGCUCAUCUUUAGCUUCUAUUUUUUGAUAUAUGGCAGUCCAAACAGACACAUGCCACGUAUACAUAACUCAGACUCUCAAGGAUUCUUUUGAGUUGAUUUCUAAAGCUUUUCUGGUACCUUUUCAAUGAGUUUUAAAUACUGGGUAAAAUUAUGAUCCAGAAAACAGAUUGUCAAGACUUGUACUGUGUGUGAUAGCAAAAGCAUACAAUGCUUGUGAUAUCCCAAACUUUGUUUAUUCUGGGGUGCAGAUGGUGGGAAAGAAUAGCAUGCUUAAUAGCUGAGGGAAUAUAAUAAGAACAAUAAUUUCUCAUUUCUAUUACAUUCAUCACCAUGGUGUCCAGGCACACUUCUGUGGCAUUUGAGAAGUAAAUAAUCCUCCUUUAGUUUCUCAAGUAGUUGUAUUUUCCUUGAACUGAUCUGAGUCAGGAAUGAAGGGAUGUGGGACAUCAUACAGAAACAUUUAGAGAACAAUGAUUUCCUACCAAUAUUCUUGAUUAGCUUUUAGGGAGGGCUUUGUACCAGGUUACUGCUGGGAAAGUAAAAACCAGUCAAGCCACCGAGAAUAUCAGACAAGGUGAAUUAUCAGAGAUAUUGCAAAUUCUUCAACAGAAGAAAUCAAAGAAGGCAAAGAUUUUUCAAAUGAGCUGAAAAGAGGAGGAGGAUGUCAAGAGACCUAAUAAAGGAAGAGUCACAUCAAUAAUAUGAGUGAAAACUGGAAAUCAGACUGCAAUCAAAUGAAUGGAUAGGGGUUGUUGGGCCAUUAGCCCAUACUUAUAAUGCAUAUCCUUUAUUAUAUGAAUUUAUGCCAUAGUAUGGACACAUUUUCUUAGAAAUACUCUCAUUUUUCCCCCCAU